rnacentral:rRNA from 1 species
GAUGAACGCUGGCGGCGUGCCUAAUACAUGCAAGUCGAGCGAACAGACGAGAAGAUUUUUCUUUUGACGUUAGCGGCGGACGGGUGGGUAACAAGUGGAUCACCUUCCACUAUUACGGGGAUAAUUUCGGGAAAAAAGAGCUAAUAAUACAUAAUAUAUUCUACGGCAUGGAUCAAUAGUGAAAGGCGGCUUUGGUGUCUGUUUUAGCUGGAUCCGCGUCGGAUUAGCUAGUUGGUAAGGUAACGGCCUACCAAGGCAACGAUGCGUAGCCGACCUGAGAGGGUGAUCGGCCACACUGGAACUGAGACACGGUCCAGACUCCUACGGGAGGCAGCAGUGGGGAAUCUUCCACAAUGGGCGAAAGCCUGACGGAGCAACGCCGCGUGAGUGAUGAAGGUCUUCGGGUCGUAAAACUCUGUUAUUAGGGAAGAACAACAGUGUAAUAAUCCACGCACGUCUUGACGGUACCUAAUCAGAAAGCCACGGCUAACUACGUG